AGGCAGAAUUCUUCUCCUGUGUUUUUAGGCGACGGUCUCCGGAUCAGUGGAUGUAAGGUUUUUGUGGAGAAAACAGAAGAUCAUAGAAGAUUGUGGUCUGGAUCCGCGCUGUAGGUUGUUAAUGGCUCCAAGUGCACACUGAACCAGUUCUUGGCAGAAGAAGGAGUCUAGGAUGUUCUUUCAUUUAAAGAAGAUGAAGAUGAUCCAGGAGGGCAAGGUUGAACUUUGGGGGGCGGACAGGUGGGCGAGCGCUCGUCCAGGGUGCACUUACCCACCUGUUGCUCCUCUUUCUAACGGAGCAACAAGGAGACAUUUCUGUACCACCGCUAAAAGGGAGAGUCAGCAUGGCCCCAAACUCGAAGAGAAUCCUAUGGAGAACGGUCUGGUCUACAAGGAAAGAACAGAACCAAGGGCCUCAUAGAGCUGUUGAAGCUGUUCAUCGGACACGAGAUGAAAUCAACACGCUGACGGGGUUUGAGACACACACGGAAAAUAAAAGACAAAGAAGAACCACGGAAUAUGCACGGCUGCCUGCGUUUGCUAUGGUUGUGUUGGUUUGUGCUCUUUUUUUUUUUCUCCCCUACAUCUUUCUGGUAAAAACACACACUUUCACACCCACUUUUACACACAAUACACAUGGAAUAUGACUACGGCUGCAGAAGAAGAGCGGGAAAGGUCACCGCUGGCUUCCAGAGGCUGAGCUGGGUUUCUCUGCAGUGUGUUUUCCAGAGAGGAGCGGCGCUUGGACAAAAUCCACUGGGGCAAGCAAACACACACACAAACACACAGAGAAAACGUCUUCUAACUGACGAUUCGGGAUCUUUUAAUAUGCUGAUCUGAGAAUAUGAAGGAUGGUCUCAAAAGCAGAUAGAUGCGGUCGCAAAAUGAGCCUCUGAAGGCGCCGGUUUAAUACCCAAAGGUCGUUAAUUAUAACAAUUAUUCAAGCCCAUAUCACAGACACAUAUUGACUGUUUUUUCCUUCUUUUUGGUCUCUACUUGGGUUGUCUGGUGACGCACCCCAAAAGGCUCAAUUAAAGAAUAAAGUGAGUGUUUUAAGUGUGUGUGUGUGUGUGUGUGUGUGUGUGUGUGUGCGUGUGAUUGUAGGGGAAAUGGAAAUAGAUUUUCACCUGCACUGUUUAUUAUGGGGCGCACAAUGCCUUUUUGUCCCUCUGUUGUCCAAUUACAUCAUAUUAUGUUGAAGUUGUGUCAGACAGAAUUAUGUUUUAUGACCCGGAUGGGUGUGAUACACACACACACACACACACACGCACAUAUAUAUAUAUAUAUAUAUAGACAUGUGAUGGAAAUCAAAUAAACCUGUUCCAUCUCCUCCACUCACCUGUGUGGUCAUCUGAGUGCAUGUGCACCACCGUAUGUCCCUUAAAUGUCGUAUUUGAGCUACGUUCGCCAUGUUGCAUGCCUGUCCUACGAUGUGUGUGUUCCUGAGGGCGUGUGUGUGCGUGAGUGUGUUUUUGACCUCCACUGCCCGUCUCCCUACCAUCCCUCCUGUGAGAGCCAGUGUGAUAUACGGAGCUCUAAUUGUCAGGUCUGGCCCCCACAUUCCUCGCCUCCAACAGCCGACCAACAGUGUGUCACUUUAACAACCGCAAAUUAUCACCGCGAUGGAGAUCUCGGCUUCACUGCGCCUCUAUGAGAAUAUAGAUACAUUUCCUUCAAUAAAUUACUUCCCACCAACCACCGACACUCCACACACACACCUAUAAUCUCACACAGUCGACUCAUUACCUGUCUGCUGCUGUCCUCUCUCACACUUGCCGGUCUCUGACUGACGUUUUUACCACAACAUUAUUGUGUGUGCCUCAGGAUCUGCCUAAAAGGGAAUGAGAUGAAGCUAACCCUUUGUGUCACUUUGACCAGGGUGUUUGAUUCUUAAAGAUGUGAGCUGGAACCGAACAGGGAGGGGCCGGGGAGUCUAGACACAGACAGACAGACAAACACUGUUUAAUUUGCUGAAUUCAGUUUUUAUUGACUGUAAGUUUUUUUUAUUUUUUUUUUGUUUGUUUAUUUCUUUUUUAAUCACUUGAAAUGAAAUGUAGAAAGUGUUUUUGAAGGAUCUUUUACUCAAUGGGUGUCCAGGCUUUUUGUCAUGUGGGGCCAAAAUUGUCGAGUCAAAAGUGUUGGUGGGCUGAGAAAAUGACAAGAAAAAUAAAAUCAAGUAAAUAAAGUAGUUAGAUUUUUUUAUUUUUUUUUUUUUUUGGUUUAUUUGUAGGAAACUGAUAUUAUUCAAUAUGUUUUAUUAAAAGAGAGGCAACUUGUUUUCAAAUUCUUUUGGGCUCCAUUUGAAGAAUUUUUAAAAACAGGAUUUGAGACACUUCCUUUGAAAAUGUUUGCUAUAUUUAGCCGAGUUUAAUUAAUAGUUGGCUUUCCAGUAAAAUUCUUUGGAUAGUCGUGGUUCUACUUGUUAUAAAGAUUCAGUUGUAAAAAGAUGUUUACUUUGUGUUGUGCUUUACAUACUUUACAUUUAACAAAUUUACAUCAAUAAAACUUUUACCCUGAUUAAAAAAAAUAAAGACUCUAAGUGCAUUAACCACCCAGGUGGACGAGUCAAAUCUGUAGCUUUCUUCACCUGCAGUUGGGGGCCACAAAAAAUCCGUCUAAGGGCCACAAAUGGCCUUUGAAAGCCCCUGGUUUAGAGUAUCCUUUAGCAUCUUCUGUAGCAAAUUACAUCUGAUUAUCUCUUUUAAAAAAACAGAAGUGGAAAAAGAAACUAAAGGAUGGAACAGAAAAAAUAAAAAAAAUAAAAAGAGUAAUGUCAUUAUCAGACUGAACCAUUAGAGCCCAUCCUGCCAUGUGGUUCAUUUUUAUAUCAGCACUAAACAAAAUAAUUCCAACCACCCAAUCGGAUGCAGCCUAAGUAGUUCAACAUGGCCGUGAGAAGCGGAGCAGUCAUCUUCUCCGGCGGACGGGAUGCCACGUAAGUGUUUCAGGCUGUCUCCAUAGAAGUCCCGGCCAGCUCCGCUGCAGGCUCGGCCAGAACCGGGGGUUCUCUCUAAUGAAAGGCAGACUGAAAAAGCCUCUUUGAUUGAUUUCCUACAUCUUGAUUUGAUAUCCUGAAUUAAUUAUUUGAACUUGAAUAAUAUAUAAAGGGAAAAAUAAAUGUAAAACACUCAGGGGAAAUAAGUGGAGCACUUCAGUGCUGUUGGCGCAGCUGCGUUUGAUACACUGGUUCUGUAUCUGCUUGUCAAUCUUUCCCUGGAAUACUAUGGAGUUUAUCUCCAACGGAGGAAACCUCGUGAGGAGUCAUGGCAGAUGGAGGUUUUUAUGCGAUAAUGGAAGACGGUAAAAGUACAGAACCUAAAAAAGUAUUUAUCCCUCUUUACCUUUUACACAUUUUGCCACAGCACAGAUUUCACUGUGGCUUGUUUUUCGCUGUGUCAUGCAGAAGACCAACACAAAGCGGUGUGUAGUGGUGAAGUAGGAGAAACAGGAGACGUGGGGCUCAGAGGAUUUUCAAAAUGAAAAUCUGAAAAAACUGGGAUGCAUUCAACUCCAUUCAUUCUAAUUCUCCUAAAUACAAUGGAACUAAUUUCCUUCAAAUGUCAAAAUUCACUGCUUUGAGAAAACUAACUGCUGACUGUAGGCUAACCAUCUGAACCAGGGGUCAACAACCAGUGGUUCCGGGGCCACAAGUGGCUCUGUAAUUCUUUCACAAUGUCUGUUAGUAGAGGGGGCAAAUCAAGCCAAAGUAAAUAUUACAAAGCAAGUAUUGGUAUCUAAUCGAUACUUAGGUAGUAAGAUAGUUUCUGUAGUUUCAGAUUUUCUUAUGAAAUGUUAUUUUUUUUAUGUUUGUGUUGCAGUUUCUCAGUUACUUAAAAAAAUAUUUUGCUUUCAUUUCGUCUCAGAUGAUCAUUUGAUUGCAUACAUUUGUUCUGUUGUUUCUGUUCAUCUUGUUAAUAUGUUAUUAAAGUAUUUUGUA